rnacentral:rRNA from 1 species
ACGGCCGCAAGGUUAAAACUCAAAUGAAUCGACGGGGGCCCGCACAGCGGUGGAGCAUGUGGUUUAUUUCGAUGCAACGCGAAGAACCUUACCUACUCUUGACAUCCAGAGAACUUAGCAGAGAUGCUUUGGUGCCUUCGGGAACUCUGAGACAGGUGCUGCAUGGCUGUCGUCAGCUCGUGUUGUGAAAUGUUGGGUUAAGUCCCGCAACGAGCGCAACCCUUAUCCUUUGUUGCCAGCGGUUAGGCCGGGAACUCAAAGGAGACUGCCAGUGAUAAACUGGAGGAAGGUGGGGAUGACGUCAAGUCAUCAUGGCCCUUACGAGUAGGGCUACACACGUGCUACAAUGGCGCAUACAAAGAGAAGCGACCUCGCGAGAGCAAGCGGACCUCAUAAAGUGCGUCGUAGUCCGGAUUGGAGUCUGCAACUCGACUCCAUGAAGUCGGAAUCGCUAGUAAUCGUAGAUCAGAAUGCUACGGUGAAUACGUUCCCGGGCCUUGUACACACCGCCCGUCACACCAUGGGAGUGGGUUGCAAAAGAAGUAGGUAGCUUAACCUUCGGGAGGGCGCUUACCACUUUGUGAUUCAUGACUGGGGUGAAGUCGUAACAAGGUAACCAAGGGCGAAUUCUG